AUUGAACGCUGGCGGCAGGCCUAACACAUGCAAGUCGAGCGAGCGGCGGACGGGUGAGUAAUGUAUGGGGACUGCCCGAUAGAGGGGGAUAACUACUGGAAACGGUGGCUAAUACCGCAUACUAUCGGAUAACCCAAAUGGGAUUAGCUAGUAGGUGGGGUAAAGGCUCACCUAGGCGACGAUCUCUAGCUGGUCUGAGAGGAUGAUCAGCCCCACUAGGACUGAGACACGCCCCAGACUCGUACGGAGGCGGAAGUGGGGGAUAUUGCACAAUGGGCGAAAGCCUGAUGCAGGUACGCCGCGUGGGGGAUGAAGGCUUUCGGGUUGUAAACCUCUGUCGCUAUCGAACGGGUAGGUGGAGAAGAAGCGCCGGCUAACUACGUGCCAGCAGCCGCGGUAAUAC
rnacentral:rRNA from 1 species